GAAAAUGGUUUUGAUUUUAUGUGGAGCAAGAACAGCUGAAAUGAUUGUAUGGUCUCCUCCUUGGUGAUUGAAACCAUAUACAAAAGCACAUAUAAUGGAGAAAGCAAUGGAGGAAAUGUCUAAAUGGGAUUGGGUUGAGGUAGUAAGAGAAGAGUGUCAGUGAUUUUUGUUUUCUUUCUCGGCCUCUUCACAAGUUUCUGUUAGAUGGUUAUGGUGACAUCAGUAAUUGGCACACUAAUGGAUAAGUAUGCAUUUUGGGGGUCAAGUCAGUGUCUGCACACAGGUGACCCCUGGGUCUUUCUUUCAGGGUAGUCAGCAGAGCGCACACAGCAGCUGUCAUCCCUCCUUCGCUCCUGUCAUCACUGGCCUGCAAAACCUGGUUGGCACAAAAAGAGUUUCAGAUCCUUCCCAGAAAAAUUCAGGCACAGAUAUGGAACCAAGGACUGUUGAGAUAAACAGGGAGCUCAGUGAUGCCCUUGGAAUCAGUAUUGCUGGAGGAAGAGGAAGUCCCUUAGGAGAUAUCCCUAUAUUUAUUGCCAUGAUUCAGGCUAGCGGAGUGGCCGCACGGACACAGAAGCUUAAAGUAAACGAGAGAACUGGUUGAAGGACUAACAACAUGUGUUGGGGUGGGAGAGGAAGUUGCCCUGGGCACCUUGUUUAAAGUUGGAAUUCCAGUAGCCAUCAGAGACCCAGGCUGAGGGCAAGAUGCAUUAGAGAAGCUUUAUACCUUUAGAAAUUCAUUAGGUCCCCAGGCACAUAAAAAUAUUAUUAUUUGUAUCAAAGCUUCUCCAUAAAAGAAGAAAUUGCAGCCCCUUUGCAAACCCUCCUUUACCCUUUUAAGCACCUCAUUCCACCCAAAAUCAGCUCUCAACGGAGAGACAUUUGACCUUAGAGUCUUCCCUCAAUCAAAAGAAUCACUAUUUUUAUGAUUUCUCCCCCUUGU
rnacentral:sRNA from 1 species